rnacentral:rRNA from 1 species
GACGAACGCUGGCGGCGUGCUUAACACAUGCAAGUCGAACGGUGAAGCGCCUUCCUUUUUGGUGGGUGUGGAUGAGUGGCGAACGGGUGAGUAACACGUGAGUAACCUGCCCCCUUCUUCUGGAUAACCGCAUGAAAGUGUGGCUAAUACGGGAUAUUCUGGGUCUGUCGCAUGAUGGGUCUGGGAAAGAUAUUGUUUCGGUGGGGGAUGGGCUCGCGGCCUAUCAGCUUGUUGGUGGGGUGAUGGCCUACCAAGGCGGUGACGGGUAGCCGGCCUGAGAGGGUGGACGGUCACACUGGGACUGAGACCCGGCCAAGACUCCUACGGGAGGCAGCAGUGGGGAAUAUUGCACAAUGGGCGCAAGCCUGAUGCAGCGACGCCGCGUGAGGGAUGGAGGCCUUCGGGUUGUGAACCUCUUUCGCCAGUGAAGCAGGCCUGCCUCGUUUGUGGGUGGGUUGACGGUAGCUGGAUAAGAAGCGCCGGCUAACUACGUG